ACGUACACUCCUACGGGAGGCAGCAGUGGGGAAUUUUGGACAAUGGGCGAAAGCCUGAUCCAGCCAUGCCGCGUGCAGGAUGAAGGCCUUCGGGUUGUAAACUGCUUUUGUACGGAACGAAACGGCCUUUUCUAAUAAAGAGGGCUAAUGACGGUACCGUAAGAAUAAGCACCGGCUAACUACGUGCCAGCAGCCGCGGUAAUACGUAGGGUGCAAGCGUUCAUCGGAAUUACUGGGCGUAAAGCGUGCGCAGGCGGUUAUGUAAGACAGUUGUGAAAUCCCCGGGCUCAACCUGGGAACUGCAUCUGGGACUGCAUAGGUAGAGUACGGUAGAGGGGGAUGGAAUUCCGCGUGUAGCAGUGAAAUGCGUAGAUAUGCGGAGGAACACCGAUGGCGAAGGCAAUCCCCUGGACCUGUACUGACGCUCAUGCACGAAAGCGUGGGGAGCAAACAGGAUUAGAAACCCUAGUAGUCCCAU
rnacentral:rRNA from 1 species